rnacentral:rRNA from 1 species
AUGCUACAAUCUGAAGAGUUCACUCGCCUUGUGGUUACAGCAUGGGCGAUAUGGAGUGCAAGGAGGAAGGCGAUCUAUGAGGACAUUUUCCAGUCUCCAUACUCCACGAACGGCUUCCUCUUGAGUUACUUGUCAGAACUGCAGCAGAUCAAUAAGAGGUCACCAAGGUCUGUUAGUGCGUCUGUGCAGAGACCAAAACGCUGGCUACCUCCGAUCCAAGGAUGUGCCAAAGUUAACGUGGAUGCAGCGCUGUCGAGGGGAGGCACGUAUGGUGCGGUUGCAGCUGUGUGUAGGGACCAAAAUGGCCUGUUUCUUGGAGCUUCGGUCGUUCGUUUCCGGCAAAUCAAUGACCCUCAAACACUCGAAUCCCUGGCCAUAAGGGAAGCACUAGCUUUGGCGGAGGACUUAUACGUUCAAAGCAUUCAUGUGGGCUCCGAUUGCAAGACGGUGGUAGAAGAUAUACAGAGCGGUAUUUCAGCUUCAUAUGGUGCGGUGAUACAUGAAAUCAUAGAACAUUCUGCUAGUUUUCAGCUUUGUAAAAUAGUUCAUGAAUUUAGGAGCUCAAACUUUGAGGCUCACAACUUAGCGAAGCAUGCUUUAUCUCUCGAGGGUGGCCGCCAUGUCUGGUUAGGUCAUCCUGGAGAUCUUUCUUUCGUCCCUGUAAGCAUUGUGACGGAUUAA